AUGGCUGUCCCCGCUGUCCCCGGCGCUGUCCCCGCGCUGUCCCCACACGGUGACACUCUCCAGGUACCAGGAGCUCUCGGGGAGGCCCCCGCAGGGACCUUUGUGCACCCGCAGCAGGAGCAGCUGGCCCAGGGGACAGGGGACAGGGACGCGGUACUCUGUCACCUGGGGGGACACGGGGACGUUGGGGACACUGGGGACACUGGGGACACUGGGGACACUGGGAGCACUGGGGAGAUUGGGGAGAUUGGGGACACUAGGAGCAAUGGGGGGAUUGGGGACAUUGGGGACACUGGGGGACACUGGGGACAUUGGGGACACUGGGGACAUUGGGGACACUGGGGACAUUGCAGACACGAUCACACCUCACCCUCAGUCACCUCUGUGGGGACAUUGGCACUGUCACCGUGUCACCGUCACCACAGGCAAGUGGCGUCACCUGCAGCGCGCCACCGCUGUCACCGCUGCUGCGUCACCGCCACCGCUGUCACCGGCGCUGCCACCGCCACCAGGCCACCAUCACCGCGCCACCGCCGUCACCACCAGCUGUGCCACCACCAGCGACACCCUCUGAGGAACAACGUCACCGCUGUCACCGCCGCUGUGCCACCGCUGUGUCACCAUUGUCACUGUGGCACCAUUGUCAUUGUGGCACCACUGUCACCGCCGCUGUGUCACCAUUGUCACCUCCAUUGUGCCACCACUGUCACCCCCACUGUGCCACCAUUGUCACCACUGUGUCGCCACUGUCACCCCCACUGUGUCACCAUUGUCAUCCCCAAUGUGUCACCAUUGUCACCCCCAUUGUGUCACCCCCAUUGUGUCACCAUUGUCAUCCCCAUUGUGUCACCAUUGUCACCAGCACUGUGUCACCCCAUUGCGUCACCCCCAUCGUGUCACCAUUGUCACCAUCACUGUGUCACCAUUGUCACCACUGUGUCACCAUUGUCACCCCCAUUGUGUCACCUCCACUGUGUCACCAUUGUCACCACUGUGUCACCCCCAUUGUGUCACCCCCAUUGCGUCACCAUUGUCACCAUUGUGUCACCAUUGUCACCCCCACUGUGCCACCAUUGUCACCCCCAUUGUGUCACCAUUGUCACCACUGUGUCGCCACUGUCACCCCCACUGUGUCACCAUUGUCAUCCCCAAUGUGUCACCAUUGUCACCCCCAUUGUGUCACCUCCACUGUGUCACCAUUGUCACCACUGUGUCACCCCCAUUGUGUCACCCCCAUUGCGUCACCAUUGUCACCAUUGUGUCACCAUUGUCACCCCCACUGUGUCACCCUCACUGUGUCACCAUUGUCACCACUGUGUCACCCCCAUUGUGUCACCCCCAUUGCGUCACCAUUGUCACCAUUGUGUCACCAUUGUCACCCCCACUGUGUCACCCUCACUGUGUCACCAUUGUCACCACUGUGUCACCCCCAUUGUGUCACCCCCAUUGCGUCACCAUUGUCACCAUUGUGUCACCAUUGUCACCCCCACUGUGUCACCCUCACUGUGUCACCAUUGUCACCACUGUGUCACCCCCAUUGUGUAUUGUGCCCCCCCAUCGUGUCACCAUUGUCACCCCCAUUGUGUCACCUCCACUGUGUCUGUCACCAGCACUGUGUCACCAUUGUCAUCACUGUGUCACCAUUGUCCCCCCCAUCGUGUCACCAUUGUCACCCCCAUUGUGUCACCUCCACUGUGUCACCAUUGUCACCACUGUGUCACCCCCAUUGUGUCACCCCCAUUGCGUCACCAUUGUCACCAUUGUGUCACCAUUGUCACCCCCACUGUGUCACCCUCACUGUGUCACCAUUGUCACCACUGUGUCACCCCCAUUGUGUCACCCCCAUUGCGUCACCAUUGUCACCAUUGUGUCACCAUUGUCACCCCCACUGUGUCACCCUCACUGUGUCACCAUUGUCACCACUGUGUCACCCCCAUUGUGUCACCCCCAUUGCGUCACCAUUGUCACCAUUGUGUCACCAUUGUCACCCCCACUGUGUCACCCUCACUGUGUCACCAU
ensembl:lncRNA